GUGGAUGUGACAGAGUGGUUAUCGAGCAUGACUAGAAAUCAUGUGGGCUCUACCCACAUAGGUUCAAAUCCUACCAUCCACG
rfam:Picea glauca, whole genome shotgun sequence.